AGAGCUACAACUGUGCCACUGAACUCUAGCAUGGGCAAAGGUGAGAGACCCUGUCUCAAAAAAGAAAUUAUAGAAAUCUUCAGUAAUAUUUUGUCAUGAGUGAAAAAAAAUCCAUGUUUAUGAUGGGAAAAGAUAGAAAAUAAAUUCUCCAAAAGAAAAUAGCUAUAAUCUUCUCUCUCAGAGAUUGUUAACAUUUUGGUGAUUCUUGCUAUUGUUUUUGUUGAUAGAAAUAUCCAUACAUGCAUGUAAUAUGAAUAGAUGAGUGGUAUAUAUAUUUGAAACCUAACUAUUUUACAAUUUUUUUAACGUAAUAGAUCCCAAACAUACUAAGUAUUCUUUAGUAACUAAUUACAGAAUGAAGUGUUCACCUAUAACAUGAUUUUUUAAUGGCUGCAUGAAAUUCUGUUCUUUGGAUAAACCAUAAUUUGUCACCAUUGAUCAGCGUGAGUAAAUUUUAGUACAUUAGUAAUUUUUUGAAAAUCCUACCUAGAUUAUUUCAUUAUUCCAUAGUGUUAAUGCAUACUACCAUUUUUUAAUCGUUGGUUUACUUUAUAACUUAAAAUUUUGGUCUAGAAAAUAUAAAUAUUAAGUGUCCUGCAUUUUGCCAUUCUCCAAAUGUCAGAUGGAUCUGUAAAACUUCAUUUUUUAAUGGAAACCAUUCUAAAUUAUUGCCAUAAAUUUGAGCACUUUCAAAUAACUGCAAGAAUUUGGAUAAUAUCACAGAUUAAAAAGAAAAAAAAGUGAGUUUCUUCCAGAUGAACUUAGUAGGAAGGAAUUUAAAAAGUGAAUAUUUAUAGAUGGGUUUAUUGGGUUAUUAAACUAGUAAUUUCUCCCCUUAAAUAAUUUCUAAGGCUGGGUAGUACAUGGUCUAUGGCUAAAGAUCCAACAAUAUAGCUUUCCUGUAAAAAAGCAAAACAAAACCCUGACUACUGGCUCCUUCCUUGUUAGUCUGUAAUGCUCCCUUACUUCCUACCAUCUAGUGGAGAUCCAGUAGAGAACUGUUGAUGGCAGAACCCUAGCCACAAACUUUGGUAAUAGUCCAUUGUUAUACAGUUCAGGAAAAGUUUGGCACAAGUGAGGUAGAAUAGCAGGACUGUAUUAUUAGAUUUUGGGAAGAAAUAAAAGAUACACUGAUGGAAUUUCGUUUUCUGUCUCAGUUUCACUGUUUUUCUGAUCAGUACUUGGAAUUUAUUUGUCCUUAAUAGAAAUAUCAUGUGAAGCUUGAUGAACUUUUAUACAUGAAUUGCUUUAUGUUAAUUACGAACAAUUUUAGUAUGAUGAUAUGCUAAUUCUUUCAUUUCCAUUUUGAAUAUCCCAGUGCCACCUUCACCAGCUGUCAAUGUACCUUCUAAUUCUGCCCACCAUAAUUUUCUUUCUUUUAAAGUUUACCGUGGAAAUGAAUUUAUUCUGUGGUAAUAAUCAUUGUAAAAGUCUUUGAACAAUAAAAAGAAACAAAGUCUCAGCUAACCUGUUUAUCAUGAGGUUGAAGAGAUAUCCUUUUAUUCUUAGUUCACAAAGAGGUUUAUUUAUUUAAAUCAGGGAUGAAAGAUGGUUUUGGAAAAAAUCUUUUAAAAAUAAUCUCUUAACCCUUUAAUGAAUGACAUCAGUGGAUUUCUGCAUAUCACUUUUUGUUUUCACUGAAAUAAAACCUAUGCCCUAUUCAAUUUACUAAUAUUUUACUUAGAUUUUUCAUUAGUAUUCAUGAGGGAGAUUGGUCUACAGAUCCUUCCUACCUUUUAUUAUGCAAGUUUUGGUGCAUAAAUUUUUUUUUUAAUGGGGGAGAGAGGUUGCCACUUUGUCAGGUUUUUGCAUCAGGGCUGUGCUAGCCUCACAAAGUUAAUUUAGAAGCUUACUAUUUUUUCUCUAUGUUUUGGAACUGUUUGAAAGCUGUGGACAUGAUCAUUUCUUUAAAGUCUGGCAGAACUUUGAAAUUAUCUGGGCCUGGGGUUUUGUUCAGGAUAGAUCUUUUACAACAAUGGAAAGUUGUUGUAAAGACUUAUAUAAAAGUUUUUGACCUGUAUCUUUUUGGUAGACAGCAAUAUAAAGCUCUCUCUUAUUGUAGUUAAUACAUUUUGGUUUGAAUUCUUCAUUGAAAUUAACAUUGCCACCAUGCUUUAUGUCUAUUCAAAUAAUUGUACAUGUUCAAACAGCUUUACUUGGAGUAUCCAAAAACUGGAAGUAAUCCAAUGGACAUUGGAACAACAUGGAAUGGAAAAGUACAUUGUGAUAUAUUCAGGCAGUGGAAUAUUACUCAGCAAUAUGAAAUAUUGAUACAUGCAGCUACAUGGGCAAAUCUUAAAAUAUGCUGAAUGAAAGAAGCUAAAGAGUAAAAUCUUUAUUAUUCAAUUUAUAUAAACUUCUAGACAAUGCUCACUAAUUUGUGGUGACAGAAAGCAGAUCAUUGGUUACUGAGAUGGGGUGGGUGGAUGAAGAAGGCCACGAAGAAAGAAAGGACUACAAAAGACUACAGGGAAACUUUUGGGAGUGAUGUAUAUAUUCAUCAUGUUGAUAGUGGUGAUGGUUUUGUGAAUCAAAAUGUAUCAAAUUAUAUGUUUUAAAUAUGUGCAGUUUAGUACACUUCAGUUAUACCUCAGCAAAUUUGAAAAAUCCAUUCAACUCUGAUUUGAAAUGCCAUCUUCAUCUGAUACUAAAUUUCCCUGUUGCUGAAUGUGUUUCUAGGCUCUCUUCAACUCUACUAAACAAAUAUAUUUGACUUUAUGUUUCUAUAUUGAUAUAAAGAAUUAAACAGUGUCUUUUCAGUAAAAGUGUUGGGAGACCUGGGAAGCCACCUGAAAAAAAUAUUGAUAGAUUCAUACUUAUACACCAGGAUAAGGAUAAAUUCCAAGUGGAACAGUCAUGAACUCCAAACCACUCAAGCCCCUGCCUUGGCCUUACACUUAACGACCUAUACUUAAGUCAGGCCAUGACAUGAAUUAAACACUGGUACUAAUAUCAAAAUCUUUUCAUUCUAGAGGGCUUCCUGGAACUUGACUGGGACCUAUGCGCUAGAAUUUACCGAAAGCAGCUGACCCCUGCUUUGCUUUUACUAUUCCAGCAGUGCAGAUAAAGUCUCACUUCCAGCUAGGCAUGGUGGCUUGUGUCUGUAUUCCUAACUACUCGGGAGGCUCAGAUGAGUGGAUUCCUUGAGCGCAGGAGUUUGAGUCCAGCCUGGGCAACAUAGGAAGCCACCAUCUCUUAAAGAAAAAAAAAAAAAAGGUAGAUUUUGACUUUUUUGUCACAAGAAAACAAAGGCUCUUAUGAAGUCCCAUGCUUUGUUGAGCACUGGUUUAUUUAAUUAGUUAACAGAUUGGAUUUAUGCUUUCACACAGCUACAUAUAGUGUCCUUUUCUAAGGAAAAAAGUAGGCUGCAACCACACGAGUCAGAGGCAAUUUUUUUUUUUGUUGUCGUUCUUUUUUGCUUUCCUGCAGUUAGGGAGAACUGAUUGUCAUAUUAUACCCUAAAUAUCAACUAAAGUGUCUAUGACAAAAUUAGUGCAGUUAGGUCAGCAUUAUCCCACUCUGUAUGUUUGAAUUUCUCUCUCUGACCUGCACAGCUACUUCAGAAGCCUUUCUCUUGAAUGAAGCUUUAUGUCUGCAAUUCAUAUUUGACAACAGACUCUGGAACAGAUUUGUCAUCAGAUAGAGAAAUUCUCUUCCUCUCCCACCCCUGUCCCCCAGGGUGAAGUUAAUACUUCUUUAGGUAAGUUUUGCCUUGUGCUCCUUUAUUUUCUUCCCUAGAGUCAGUGAGCAAGGGUGACACCUUGGCAAUGGCUUGGUCAAUUAGGACCUUCAGAGAACCUAAGUACACCCUCUCCUCCUUUCCUAAUCAAACUGCUGUUAUAUAAAGACCACAUUCUGAGUUACUGCCAACAUUGAUGCUGUUGGGAGCAUGGAAGAGCUCAGCAGUAGCUUUGAUAGUUUGUUGGUCUGUUUAUAAAAAUAACAUUUUUUUCCUGAUUGCAAAAUAGUAAUAUAAUUACUCAACAUUGGAAAACACAGAAGAGUGCACACAUAAAAAGUACUUAUAAUUCCAAUACCCCUGAGAUAGUACUUGUUAACAUUAUUUAAUAUAACUUGCUAUUUUUUUUUCCCCAUGCAUAUAUGUUUUGUAUAGAAAAUAAAUACCCAUUUUCUGGCUAAAAUUAAUUAAAUUAUUGAAUGUGUAUUUGUUGAGCACUGACUAUACACUAUUGUGCUUGACACUGGAUUCUUAUGUAAUAACUAUUUUAAACCUGUUUUUAUAAAUAUAUGAUCAGCAUUCUUCUACAUCACAUAUAUCAUUUAUGACUGGUCUUUAGGUAAAUUGGAGACUUGGCAAGCCUGGUCCACCGUGGUUAAGGGAUGUGCCAUUUGAGACCUAUAGGGAAAAGACUGGCAUUCCAGGGGGUCUCUUGUGGGCUCAGGAGGUCACCAUAUAGAAUUAAUAGAGCUCAGAGCUUAUACAGAGAAUCCCAUUUUCUUUCCAUUUAGCGUAAUGAAACUUCCUGGGAAGGUUAUCAAAGACUGAUAGGACGUGCAGGUUUGUUACAUAGACAACUGUGUGCCAUGGUGGUCUGCCGCAUCUAUCAACCCAUCACCUAGGUAUUAAGCCCCACAUGCAUUAGCUAUUGAUCCUGAUGCUCUUCCUCCCCCAACCCUUGCCACAGUGUGCUCCAGUGCUCCAGUGUGUGUUGUUCCACUCCCUGUGUCCAUGUGUUCUUAUUGUUCAGCUCCCACUUAUAAGUGAGAACAUGUGGUGUUUGGUUUUCUGUUCCUGUGUUAGUUCGCUGAGGAAAAUGGCUUCCACCUCCAUCCAUGUCCCUGCAAAGGACAUGAUCUCGGUUCCUUUAUAUGGCUGCAUAGUAUUCCGUGGUAUAACUGUGUUUGAAGUGACAAAAGUAAAAAUUGUGUUUUUUUAUGGUGUACAACAUGUUUUGAUAUAUGUA